AUUCAUUCAGCAAAUAUUUGAGGGUGGCUUUUCUAUGUUCUCCUAUAACACACUACACUUCUCCCAGCACAGAACUUACCACACUGCACAAUGGUCUGUUUGCCAAUCAGAGAAGCAACAUGCCAGCAUGGCAGGGAAUCCAGGCUUUGGGGGCGGACAGUUCUGGGUUUGAAAAUAUCCCCACCUCUCACUAGCUGUAUGACUAUCAGCAAGUUACUAAAUCUCUAGGCUUUGAACUCCUCAUCUGUAACACGGGCUAGAAACACCUACCUCACAUGGUUGCUGCAAAGACUAAAUCAGACAAGGCAGGAAGAACAUGGUACAAGCACCUAAGAAGCACUCAGUAAGUGGUAGUUAUUUUUUAUUAUUUUUUGAGACGAGGUCUGUCAUGCAGGCUGGAGUACAGCGGCAUGAUCAUGGCUCACUGCAGUCUCAACCACCCAGACUCAAGCGAUCCUCCCACCUCAGCCUCCAGAGUAGCUGGGACCACAGAUGUGUACCAUCACACUCAGCUAAUUUUAAAAUUAUGAAUAUUUGUAGAGGUGAGGUCUCACUACGUUGCCCAGGAUGGUCUCGAGCUCCUGACCUCAAGUGAUCUGCCCACAUUGGCCUCCCAAAGUGCUGGAAUUACAGGCUAAGCCACCACACCCGGCCUAUUAUUUCCCUAUUAUAAUGGAACUAAGAGCAGAAACCUUAUAAAUUGCUCAAUUUUCCCAGCGUUCAGCAUAGGUACCUAGGAAAUAUAUGUUGAUGCAUGAAUGAGAACAGAGAACAAAGAAGAUGGGGGGAAAAAAUCAAAGGUAGGACCCCCAGAUUUGAGGAGAUAUCUAAAUACCUGAGAGAAUUAUUUUUAUUUUUAUUUAUUGUGAAACAGAGUCUCACUCUGUCGCCCAGGCUGAAGUGCAGAGGCGUGAUCUCAGCUCACUGCAACCUCUGCCUUCCAGGUUCAAGUGUUUCUCCCGCCUCAGCCUCCCGAGUAGCUGGGAUUACAGGCGCACGCCACUGUGCCCGACUAAUUUUUUGUAUUUUUAGUAGAGAUGGAGUUUCACCAUGUUGGCCAGGCUGGUCUCGAACUCCUGACCUCAGGUGAUCCACCCACCUUGGCCUCCCAAAGUGCUGGGAUUACAGGCAUGAGCCACUGUGACCGGCCAAUAAUUUUUAAAGCUAAUAUUUUUAUAAGUAGUUACAAUGCACCAGAUACUGCCUAUGUAUAUAACUAAUUUAAUCCUCACAACCUUAUGAGGUAGAUACUAGCAUUUCUAUUCUACACUUGAGGAAACAGGCACAGAUAAGUGGAAGUGACUCACCCAAGGUCCUACCAAACUGUUGAGUAGCAGAACCCUGCCAAUUUGGCAUUAGUGGCCGGCUAUUUAAUCAUGACUCCACGCUACCUUUCAAAUAAAAGCAGAUGGUAAGGAAAGGACAGCUGUGAGGACUGAACCAUUAAGCACAUUCCCCUAACAGAGAAAGGGAAUUGCAAAGGUGGCAGAACAAACACAGUAACAGAUGAGUUUUAAGGAGGAAUUAAAAAAAAACUUUAGGCCGGGCGCCAUGUCUCACGCCUGUAAUCUCAGCACUUUGGGAGGCCGAGGCGGGUAGAUCAUUUGAGGUCGGAAAUUGGAGACCAGCCUGGCAAACAUGGUGAAACUCCGUCUCUACCAAAGAUACAAAAAAUUAGCUGGGUGUGGUGGCACGCACCUGUGGUCCCAGGUACUCAUGGUGCGGCCACCAUUGCAUCUUGGGCCUCACUAACCAGUUCCCGUUUGUUGGAUUCAAUACUGUCUCACCACACAGGCCAAUCUUGUGUUUUAUUAAUUUUUUAAAUUUUUUUUUUUUUUUUUGUAGAGAUGGGCUCACUAUGUUGCCCAGGCUGGUCCUGAACUCCUGAGGUAGGAGGAUCGCUUGAGCCUGGGAGACAGAGGUUGCAGUGAGCCGAGAUUAUGCUACUGCACUCCUGCCUGGGUGACACAGUGAGACUCUGUCUUAAACAAAACAAAACAAAAAAAGGCCAGGCGCAGGGGCUCACACCUGUAAUCCUAGCACUUUGGGAGGCCAAGGUGGGUGGAUCAUUUGAGGUCAGGAGUUUGAGACCAGCCUGAUCAGCAUGGUGAAACCCCGUCUCUACUAAAAACAGAAAAAUUAGCCAGGUGUCGUGGCUUGCACCUGUAGUCCCAGCUACUCAGGAGGCUGAGACAGGAAAAUUGCUUCAACCAGGGAGAUGGAGGCUGCAGUGCGCAGAGUCGCGCCACUGCCUGGGUGACACAGUGAGACUCCAUCUCAAAAAAGCCCAGGGUGCUUGGCGCCAAAAAAGGGAUCUCUGACCUUGUGUUCAUUAUGACCUUCAAAAGAGUGAAGUGGUGAGGGCAUGAGGGCAGAGGAAAAGAAGGGCUUAAGACAACGAAGGAAAAGAAGGCACCAGAGUCUAGUGCCUUUGCCGCCAAACCUAAGCCUAUAAGGUUGGCAGCAAAACCAAAGCACAAACUGAUAGCAAAGGAGGUAAAGCCAGGGGAGAAGAAACUGAAGACGUCAAAGACAGAAAUGAAGCACAUCAUCUGGUUUAAAACAAAUGAUAGAGUUUUUACAGUUCUGGAAAAUGACCGUAUAAUAUUCUCUGCUAAGAAGAAUAACUUCUGCUAAACAACCAUAAGACUGCAGCUGGCUCUACUCAGAUCUGCUUAUUCCAACAAGACCAAGGUGCUAGUUCUAACUUCGAGUAGUCCCUCUGUAUGGCUGCAGCGUUGCGCACAGUGGACUGCCGGUCACAAGGAAGACUGGAUGAGCGUGGGUUCACACAUUUCCCACACUUGCCUCAGCAAAAGAACCACCUGGGACACUUGUUUAAAAAUGACAGAUUCCCACGGUCCACCUCGGCAGAUUCUGAUCCUGCCACGCCAGGGAGCUGUAUUUUUCAACAAGUACACCAGGUGAUCACGCAAGUUUAAGAAAUUAGCACAAGUUGGCCGGGCGCAGUGGCUCACGCCUGUAAUCCCAG
rnacentral:lncRNA from 10 species